rnacentral:lncRNA from 1 species
GAUAUUUGGGUGGAAGUGUAACUGAAUAGAAAAUGAUUAACUUACAGGUUCGUGCAUUGCUGAUACAAGCAAGGAAGGAUAAUGGUGGCCCACAUACACCUUGGAUCCUGGCCUAUACAGGCAUACAUGAAGAACUCUGAUGGUUCUCAUCAGGAGUGAAUAGGGCAAAGCUGAUUUUGCUGUGGCCAGAACUGUGCCUUUUGUUAGGCUUUCCUGGAGAAAACUGGCUGCUUCACAGAGGUUUAACAUUUAAAGACUCUGAUGAAAGUCAUGUUCUCUAUGCCUGACACAGGUUAUUUGGUGCUUGGUGAUGAGAUGGAAUACAGGUGUGUGUUAGAAGCAAUCCUCUGCAAAGAACUAAUGAACGGCCUAAUUACUUUCCUCAGCUGUGACUGAGAAGCUGAUUAGAAGCAGCUGCUGUAGCUCUGGCUGCCCUAGCCAAAAGGGGGCAGGGGCAGAGGUUGUCUGAGAAGCCAUUGGAUGGAGGGGUCAAGUUUGCUGAUGUUUCUUCUCAUCAGAUUCAGCCUUCUCCUGAGGGGCAGAGGAACACGGAGGAGGAUCUGAAUUUGUUCAAGGUGGUAGCUGUUAUCCAAGACCAGUAAGGACCUGAUGGCACCAAGAAUGUCAAGAUACCUAUAGCCAUGCAGAGCUGCCCAUAGAUGACUUGAUUCUUCAUUUUUUGUGUGAAAUUGAAAUUUAUGGAUGUCCUCAGAGCAUGGACAUCCUGACUGCAAGUUGGAGGCUGGGCCAUUGGCUUGUUUUAUUCUGAGGAGGAAAUAUGUCAGUACUGUCCAAGAACCCAGUAAAUUGCUCUUUCUGUGGUGUCUGGGAGAGCGAUGAAUUGCUCUCUCAGGGGUGUCACUAACUCUUAGGUUGUUUCUCAGUGCAUCACUGAAGUCUGUGUAUUGCAUAAAGUAAUUUUCACAUGAGAGAAGAGCAUUUUCUUAGCUGGGUUAGCUGUAAAUUCACCCUAAGGGACAAGGAGAACAAUGAAUGCAAGACUUUACGUUGUCAGGUACAUGAUUGCACAUAAUACUAAUCUAAUCACAAGCUUUGAGAUGGAAAAAAAUGGGAGAAAGGGAGGAAAUUCACUAUCCCAGAGAGAGACGCUGACACCGG